rnacentral:lncRNA from 1 species
CUGGUGGGUCCUGGCACACAGUGGGUGCCUAGCAAAGGCCUGGUGGGUGGCCAGGUUAUUUUUGGUGCCUUCCCUGCCACUCACUCCAUCCCCGAGAGCCCAUCCCUCUUCCUUCUCCUCAGUGCAGGGUAGCCUGGUGACUCACCGCCUUCCAUAUCAGCCUGAUGCUUUGAGGUCAGCUCUUGCAAAUAGCUCAAAUCUCAACAGACCAAAUCCAAGCAAAUACCUUGCCAAUCCCCACAAGAAACGGCUCUCGCUGCUCUUCAAAGUACAAAAAUGGUCAUUGGCAAGGGAGUCUUGGUGCAGACAGGGUUGGCAUUGGAGGCACUGCACAUGGCCAACUCCAGCUUUUCCCAGGUAUGUGGCCCUGGGCUUGCUUUGGCUCUGUAGAGACAGAACGUGCUCUUCCUCCAAGUGGUCUGUGGUGAUGACCCUGCUUUCCAGAAUGUCUGAUGUCUUCAGGGGUCCUAGAGCCCAACUUUAGAGUGAGGAUGAGCCCCAGGGUCCACUGACUGGAACCCAGUGCCCCCCGCCCCUUGCUCCUUCCCAGCUGCAGGACGUGCAGCAGCCAAGACAAGAG